CUGAGUGGCGAACGGGUGAGUAACACGUGAGUAACCUGCCCUUGACUUUGGGAUAACUUCAGGAAACUGGGGCUAAUACCGGAUAGGAGCUCCUGCUGCAUGGUGGGGGUUGGAAAGUUUCGGCGGUUGGGGAUGGACUCGCGGCUUAUCAGCUUGUUGGUGGGGUAGUGGCUUACCAAGGCUUUGACGGGUAGCCGGCCUGAGAGGGUGACCGGCCACAUUGGGACUGAGAUACGGCCCAG
rnacentral:rRNA from 1 species